rnacentral:tRNA from 1 species
GCCGGAGUGGCGGAAUUGGCAGACGCACAGGACUUAAAAUCCUGGGAUGAGUAAUCAUCGUAUCGGUUCAAGUCCGAUCUCCGGCACCA